GACAAGCAGGAGAGAUGCAAUGAAUGUUCAUGAAAGCCGUGAGUGUGUUUCCUGUAAUUGUGAGUCAGCCUUAGAGCUUUCAGGAACAAUACCAACAAGGAAGACGCUAUUCCAGCAAAGCCUCUCUUCACUCUCAAUACUAUCAUCCGUCUAUCACUCUCACUACAGGAGAAACAGGCACACACACGCACAGAUAAAUAGACAUAUAAAUAUACAUAUUUAUUGUUCUAAAGCCUCCUCAAUCCCUGAAAUCAGGUGGCACAUAUCGGAGGAUCACUCUGGCUGCUCUUCUGAAAACAGCUUGGCAUGGAGUGUGGGUGACAAGACUGGAAAGAGGGACGAGUUAAGGAGCUAUUUCAGUG